rnacentral:rRNA from 1 species
GACGAACGCUGGCGGCGUGCUUAACACAUGCAAGUCGAGCGGAGCGGCGGAGGGGCGAGCAAGGGGUGAGUAACUGGCCCCCUCUCUGGGAUAAGAGAUGGAAACGGGAGCUAAUACCGGAUAGUGGGGGAUGGCUCGCGUCAUAUCAGCUUGUAGGUCGGGUAGUGGACUACGUAGGCGACGACGGGUAGCCGGCCUGAGAUGGCGACCGGCCACAUUGCGCUAAGUGACGGACCAGUCUCCUACGGGGGGCAGCAGUGGCGACUAUUGCGCAGUGGGGGAAACCCUGAUGCGGAAACGCCGCGUGCGGAAUGACGGCCUUCGGGUUGUGAACCGCUUUCAGCCAAUACGCGGUAGUGGCAGAAGAAGCACCGGCUAACUACGUGCCAGCAGCCGCGGUAAUUC